rnacentral:rRNA from 1 species
UACAGGGGGUGCAAACGUUGCUCGGAAUUAUUGGGCGUAAAGCGCGCGUAGGCGGCUACUUAAGUCGGAUGUGAAAGCCCUUGGCUCAACUGAGGAAGUGCACCCGAAACUGAGUGGCUUGAGUACGAAAGAGGGUCGCGGAAUUCCCGGUGUAGAGGUGAAAUUCGUAGAUAUCGGGAGGAACACCGGUGGCGAAGGCGGCGACCUGGGUCGAUACUGACGCUGAGACGCGAAAGCGUGGGUAGCAAACAGG